rnacentral:rRNA from 1 species
UACAGAGGGUGCGAGCGUUAAUCGGAAUUACUGGGCGUAAAGGGUGCGUAGGUGGAUAUUCAAGUCAAAGGUGAAAGCCCUGGGCUUAACCUGGGAAUUGCCUGUGAAACUGAAUAUCUAGAGUAGAGUAGAGGGGAGUGGAAUUUCCGGUGUAGCGGUGAAAUGCGUAGAGAUCGGAAGGAACACCAGUGGCGAAGGCGGCUCUCUGGACUCAUACUGACACUGAGGCACGAAAGCGUGGGUAGCAAACAGG